rnacentral:rRNA from 1 species
AUGAAUUGCCUAGUAUGGAACUGUCGGGGGGCAGGGAACCCUCGUACAGUUCGUGAUUUACAGGCUCUUCGUAGAGCCAAUUCCCCCAGGAUGGUGUUUCUGUGAGAGACUAGGAAUCAACUGCAAAAGAUGAAAAGGUUGCGCAGUAGGCUUGGGCUCCGUGGUUUUGAGGGCAUAAGCAGUCAAGGAAAGAGUGGUGGCCUAGCUUUGUUUUGGGAUGAGUCCAUGUAU